UAGAGUAUCUGAUUUAGAUUCUAGUUUAUUUAUAAAAUUAGAAUCAAAUGCAUAUCUCCUAAUAUUAUUAUACAUUGAUGAUAUGAUAAUAACUGGAGAUAAUGAAUUAGAAAUUUCUAAUCUAAGGAAAGACUUGUCUGUUCGUUUUGAGAUGAAAAAUUUGGGGCAAAUUGGAUGUUUUCUUGGUCUGGAAGUGGAAAAAUUAGAUCGAGGCUACUUUGUUUCUCAUAAAGGUUGUGCGGAGAGUCUCUUAGAAUGUUUCAUCAUAAGGGAGUCGAAAGAAAAGGCUACUCCAAUGGAGCUAAAUCUCAAGUUGAAGAAGGAUGAAGGCGAGGCUUUGAAGGAUGUGAUAAAGUUCUGACAACUAGUUGGAAGUUUGAUUUAUCUGACUAUCACAAGGCCAGCAAUAUCUUACUUUGUUGGUGUCGUUUCUCAAUUUAUGCAAAAUCCAACAACUUCUCAGUUAAAUGCUGCAAAGAGGAUUUUGCGCUAUGUGAAAGGAUCUCUUAGUCAUGGACUUUGGUACAAGAGGUGUGAUACUUUUUUAUUGAGUGGAUUUACUAAUGCAAAUUGCCCAGGUGAUACACAUGAUCGUCGCUCGAUUUCAGGUUACUGUUUUAGUAUCGGGUCAACAGUGGUGCCUUGGUGCAGCAAUGUGCAAAUCAAGUGUGACAACGAAAGUGCCAUCAAACUUGCAUCAAAUCCAGUUUUUCAUGCUCGAACGAAGCAUGUUGAGAUCCGUCAUCACUUUGUUCAUGAGAAAGUCUUAAGUGAAGAGAUUGAACUGACAACUGUUCGCACCAACUCUCAAGUUGUGGAUAUAUUCACUAAAGCUUUGGAGAAGUCUAAGUUUCAAUACUUUCGAGAUGCUCUGGGAGUAGUUCAUCGUGAUCUUGCACUAAGGGGGAGUGUAACAAAUUAGUGCAACUUACUGUCUUAUUUAGUUUACUGCAUUUACCAGGUCAAAAUAAUUACUAGGUGAGGUUUGUUCACCUUAUAAAGUGGCUCGAAAGUUAGUAAUUUUAGGAGUAAGUUAGGUGGAAUAAAACGUUAAAUUUAGGAGUUAUAUUUGUAGUAGGAGUUUAUAUAUACAGAGUAAAGUUGCUCUGUUUUCUCUUGUAAUUUCAGUCGCCAUAUUUUCUAUUCAAGAAAAAGCUUUCGGCUGUUUUAUUUUCCUUCACUGUUCUUGUUCUACAUCUUCUCCUGCUCAAUACUUUUGUCAUAUCACAUUCUAGAAAGGCAUCUAUAUAUGCCCGAUUAUGUAUAUGUAUACAUCAAACUAUGUACAGUAUUUGCUUCCAGAUGUUAUGCUAAGUGUUCAUAUAUUUUGAUGUAAUUACAAGGUGGAUUCACAAAAUAUCACCUGCGGUCAAGGUUGCUCCAAGUUUUUAGCACUGAACGGAAUAGUUGUGAUUUCAUGAGUGACUAUUUACCUUUUUGGUGUAAAGAGGAAUUUGCAGAUGAAGCAGAAUUAACACUUAUUCUUAGAUUCUCAAUCUAUACAAGUAGUACUUAGCCUCUUAGAAUCCGUGUAAGUUUGGAAAGGGAUUUUCCUUUUGGUUUCUUGCUCACUUGUAAUUAGUACAUCAGUUCCUUAGUGCGAGCUUUAUACUAACACAAUUAUGUUCAUGCACUCGAGUAGUAUUGCAUGUCUUGACAGUUCAAUAAGUGGAAUCGAGAAAUUUGAAGUACAAUCGUUGGAUCAAUAGUUUUUCCCUGUCGUAGCCUCUCCUUUUUCUUAUGCUAUUUUUUAACCAUUUAGUUCUCAAGAAUUGUAUUUUAUAAUUAACAGGUGCGUGGAGAGUGAUUCUUGUUUGUAAAUAACUUAUUUGCAUCCGGUGCGUGCACGAUUUUAUUGAACUUGCGGAGCUGAAAUUAAAUAAUUUUGAAAGUUAGUUUGUAUCUGAUGUAGAAUAAAUUAACAAAAGUUAGUUUUUCGGGUUAUGAUUUAACACACUUUUUAUGGGUUAUGGUUUAACAUUCAUAUCAUUUUUUUUAUACCUUUUUUCCUUGAUCACGGAUCUUUAGAUAUUUUUUAACUUAAACCAUGGAAAAAAUGAGUAUAAAAGGAUAACAUGUGUCAUGCAUUUGGUUACAUCAGGUGUAAGUAAGACGUCUUUUUAGCCUGAUAACGUAAAAAAAUAAAGCAAUGUUGUGUAGUGGUUCCAUCUUGUAUAUGGCAUGUUCUUCGUAAUUAUUAAAUUCGUUAAGAAUUUACAAGAAUCUUUUUAAGGAUCUGAACCUGGAAAUAUAAUAUCAGUCCGUAUAAUUGUGAUGAGAAUCUGUAAAUUUGAUAUCACUCUCUCCCAAUCUAGGUUAGACCGUUUAAAGCUUCAGGCACUAAUCUAAUUGAACAUUUCGAAUGUGUUCUUUUUUUUUUUUUUUUUUACGUAAGGUGUCAUCUUCUUUAUUAAUCUUAGGAAGUUCUAAAAGGAUUUGGAGAUGAAAGCUAAGAUCUGGUCUUUAAAGUUCUCAUGAUGAGUGGGGUUUUGUCUGCUCUAAGAAUUGCUUACUCGUUUUUAUCCGUCGACUUAGGUGACUUGUGGAUGUGCUGCUGGAGUUGUUGCUUCCUUUAGAGCUCCUUUAAGUGGUGUAUUAUUUUCUCUUGAAGAGGUCACUUCUUGGUAGAGUUACCGCAUCAGCUAUAGAUUUUUUGAACUGGGUGGGACGUACAGCGAGAGCAGGCCAACCUGGUCUUGUUACAAGUCUCUAUAAAGAAUCAAAUCAUGAUCUUGUUGCUACCAUUCGUCAUGCAGAAAAAAAUUAAAAAAACAGUGAAACUUGGAGAAGGUGUGAAGGGUGUGUAUAUCUCUGUGGAUCUUGACUGUAUGGAUUCAGCAUUUGCUCCUAGGGAAUCUCAUACAGAGCUAGGGAGUCUCUCUUUCCAUGAUGUUUUAAACAUACGGCAUAACCUUCAAGCUGAUGUAGUUGGAGCUGAUGUCGUUGAGUUCAACCCACAGCGCGAUACUGUUGAUGGCAUGACUGCAAUGGUUGCUGCGAAGCUGGUAAGAGAACUUACUGCCAAGAUAUCCAAGUGACCUGCAGUAAUUCUAAAUUUAUGAGGGACGCAGACCAUGCAUCCUACGCUGACCACCGCUAGAUUUAUAUUCAUCCUUACUGGAAAGUUUGACAGAGGAUAAGCAGUAACAAAGUGUUUAUUCGCCUUAUUGUAGCCCUAAAAGCAUAUUAGGACUUAAAAUUGAAGUAGUAUUAGAUAGGUCUGGUAGAAACUCAGUUUUCUAUUGCAAGAUCAAGGUACUCAUCGGGGAAUAUUUCAAUUUUCAUGUCAUUGAUUGGAUUAUCUGUAAACUUGUUUCCCAAAAUAAGCUAUCUUUGCGGUUCCUUAUGAGUAACCUGUGACGCUUGCAUCUGGUAAGUGGUGCAGAUUAUGUUGUUUAUAAAUAUUAUCUCUAUCAAUGUAAAUAUGUGUUGGGCCUGUGCAACGCAUAUUUUUUUAGUCAACUCAUGAAUAAAAUAUUUUUUUAU